rnacentral:rRNA from 1 species
CUUGUUGGUGGGGUAACGGCCCACCAAGGCGACGACGGGUAGCUGGUCUGAGAGGACGGCCAGCCACACUGGGACUGAGACACGGCCCAGACUCCUACGGGAGGCAGCAGUGGGGGAUCUUGCGCUAAUGCGCGAAAGCGUGACGCAGCGACGCCGCGUGGGGGAUGAAGGCCCUCGGGUUGUAAACCCCUUUCGGCAGGGACGAAGGGAGACUGACGGUACCUGCAGAAGAAGUCCCGGCUAACUACGUGCCAGCAGCCGCGGUAACACGUAGGGGACGAGCGUUGUCCGGAUUCAUUGGGCGUAAAGCGCGCGUAGGCGGCUCGGAGAGUCGGGCGUGAAAUGCCGGGGCUCAACCCCGGGACUGCGUCCGAUACUUCCGAGCUGGAGGUAGGUAGGGGAGAUCGGAAUUCCUGGUGUAGCGGUGAAAUGCGCAGAUAUCAGGAGGAACACCGGUGGCGAAGGCGGAUCUCUGGGCCUUACCUGACGCUGAGGCGCGAAAGCUAGGGGAGCGAACAGGAUUAGAUACCCUGGUAGUCCUAGCCGUAAACGUUGGGUGCUAGGUGUGGGCGGACAUCGACCCCGUCCGUGCCGAAGCUAACGCAUUAAGCACCCCGCCUGGGGAGUACGGCCGCAAGGCUAAAACUCAAAGGAAUUGACG